rnacentral:rRNA from 1 species
AUAGCGUAUAUUAAAGUUGUUGCAGUUAAAAAGCUCGUAGUUGAAGUUUGGUCUCGGACGCUGGGUCUGCUUAAUUGCAUGUACUUGACGGUCCGAGACUUCCUUCUUGGUGAACGGCCGCCUUCGGGUGGUCCGGAACCAGGACUAUUACUUUGAAAAAAUUAGAGUGUUCAAAGCAGGCCAUAGGCCCGAAUAUAUUAGCAUGGAAUAACAGAAUAGGACGUGCGGUUCUAUUUUGUUGGUUUCUAGAACUGCCGUAAUGAUUAAAAGGGACAGCCGGGGGCAUUAGUAUUUGCACGCUAGAGGUGAAAUUCUUGGAUUGUGCAAAGACUUCCUACUG